UGGAACCUCAGCAACCCGGAGCCCACAUCCUCGGAGUACGCCGCCCUGCUGAGGGACACCCAGGACCAGUAACCACACUGGAGUGGACUCCCUGUGUACCUUGCCGCCUUGGCACAGAGACUGGACAGAGUUGCCAUCUAUGAGGAAUUCCUGUGGCUGACCCAGAAUGGUACCCAGCUGCAGAACUUGACCCUGGACAGGAAGAGUGUCCUUGGGGAUGAAUAUUCUGCCAACAGAGAUGACACCUCGACUGAGAAGCCUAACCUCCCCUUCUGGGCCCUCAUCCUCAUCUGCUUGGCGGGAAUCCUGGUGCUCAUCACAGGCCUGAUCUGCUGUCUGCUGGUAAGCCAUGACGUGUUGAUUGUCUUCUUACUAUUGGGUUGUAAGAGCUCUUUAUAUAUUAUAAGUACACGUCCUUUUCUAGGGAUAUGUUUUGCAGAUGUUUUCUCCCAGUCUGUGUGUGGCUUGCCUUCUCCUU